rnacentral:piRNA from 1 species
UGUACAUAGAUACAACAUGGCCAGCACUACC